AACGAACGCUGGCGGCAGGCUUAACACAUGCAAGUCGAACGAGAUCUUCGGAUCUAGUGGCAGACGGGUGAGGAACACGUGGGAACAUCCCUUUCAGUUCGGAAUAACGUUGGGAAACUAACGCUAAUACCAGAUACGUCCUCCGGGAGAAAGAUAUAUCGCUGAAAGAUUGGCCCGCGUCUGAUUAGCUAGUUGGUGAGGUAAUGGCUCACCAAGGCUACGAUCAGUAGCUGAUCUGAGAGGAUGAUCAGCCACAUUGGGACUGAGACACGGCCCAAACUCCUACGGGAGGCAGCAGUGGGGAAUAUUGGACAAUGGGCGCAAGCCUGAUCCAGCCAUGCCGCGUGAGUGAUGACGGCCUUCGGGUUGUAAAGCUCAUUUGUCCGGGAAGAUAAUGACUGUACCGGAAGAAUAAGCCCCGGCAAACUUCGUGCCAGCCGCCGCCGUAA
rnacentral:rRNA from 1 species